UACGAAGGGGGCUAGCGUUGUUCGGAAUUACUGGGCGUAAAGCGCACGUAGGCGGAUUUGUUAGUCAGGGGUGAAAUCCCGGGGCUCAACCUCGGAACUGCCUUUGAUACUGCAAGUCUCGAGUCCGGAAGAGGUGAGUGGAAUUCCUAGUGUAGAGGUGAAAAUUCGUAGAUAUUAGGAAGAACACCAGUGGCGAAGGCGGCUCACUGGUCCGGUACUGACGCUGAGGUGCGAAAGCGUGGGGAGCAAACAGG
rnacentral:rRNA from 1 species